GACGAACGCUGGCGGCGUGCUUAACACAUGCAAGUCGAACGGAUAUGUUCUCAGCACAAAGUGCUUAUAAGUAAACACUUUGUGCUGAAAAUAUAUUAGUGGCGGACUGGUGAGUAACGCGUGAGCAACCUGCCUUAUACUGGGGGAUAACACUUAGAAAUAGGUGCUAAUACCGCAUAAUAUGUAUAAAGGACAUCCUUAAUACAUCAAAGAUUUAUCGCACAAAGAUGGCCUCGCGUCUGAUUAGCUAGUUGGUGAGGUAACGGCCCACCAAGGCGACGAUCAGUAGCCGGACUGAGAGGUUGACCGGCCACAUUGGGACUGAGAUACGGCCCAGACUCCUACGGGAGGCAGCAGUGGGGAAUAUUGGGCAAUGGACGCAAGUCUGACCCAGCAACGCCGCGUGAAGGAGAAGGCUUUCGGGUUGUAAACUUCUUUUAAGGGGGAAGAGUAGAAGACGGUA
rnacentral:rRNA from 1 species